AAGCGUGCGCAGGCGGUUAUGUAAGACAGAUGUGAAAUCCCCGGGCUCAACCUGGGAACUGCAUUAGUGACUGCAUAGCUGGAGUACGGCAGAGGGGGAUGGAAUUCCGCGUGUAGCAGUGAAAUGCGUAGACUAUGCGGAGGAACACCGAUGGCGAAGGCAAUCCCCUGGGCCUGUACUGACGCUCAUGCACGAAAGCGUGGGGAGCAAACAGGAUUAGAUACCCUGGU
rnacentral:rRNA from 1 species